GAUGAACGCUAGCUACAGGCUUAACACAUGCAAGUCGAGGGACCGGCGCACGGGUGAGUAACGCGUAUCCAACCUGCCCACCACUUGGGGAUAACCUUGCGAAAGUAAGACUAAUACCCAAUGGUGAUGGAUGGGGAUGCGUCUGAUUAGCUUGUUGGCGGGGUAACGGCCCACCAAGGCAACGAUCAGUAGGGGUUCUGAGAGGAAGGUCCCCCACAUUGGAACUGAGACACGGUCCAAACUCCUACGGGAGGCAGCAGUGAGGAAUAUUGGUCAAUGGACGAGAGUCUGAACCAGCCAAGUAGCGUGCAGGAUGACGGCCUAUGGGUUGUAAACUGCUUUUAUAAGGGAAUAUGUACCUUAUGAAUAAGGACCGGCUAAUUCCGUGCCAGCAGCCGCGGUAAUACGGAAGGUCCGGGCGUUAUCCGGAUUUAUUGGGUUUAAAGGGAGCGUAGGCCGGAGAUUAAGCGUGUUGUGAAAUGUAGACGCUCAACGUCUGCACUGCAGCGCGAACUGGUUUCCUUGAGUACGCACAAAGUGGGCA
rnacentral:rRNA from 1 species